AAGAAGAAGAAAAAAGACAAGAAAAAGAACAACAACAACAACAGAGUGCUUGUUGCUUGUGGUGGCGGUUUGUUGUUUGUUCUUCUGCUACUAUUUGCUUGUCUUUAUCCUCAACA
rnacentral:ribozyme from 12 species